GCCUACGGGACGCAGCAGUGAGGAAUAUUGGUCAAUGGUCGGGAGACUGAACCAGCCAAGCCGCGUGAGGGAUGAAGGUACAGAGUAUCGUAAACCUCUUUUGUCAAGGAACAAAGGCGGGGACGUGUCCCCGGAUGAGUGUACCUGAAGAAAAAGCAUCGGCUAACUCCGUGCCAGCAGCCGCGGUAAUACGGAGGAUGCGAGCGUUAUCCGGAUUUAUUGGGUUUAAAGGGUGCGCAGGCGGGCUGGUAAGUCAGCGGUCAAAGCCCGGGGCUCAACCCCGGCCCGCCGUUGGAACUGGCAGU
rnacentral:rRNA from 1 species